AUUGAACGCUGGCGGCAGGCUUAACACAUGCAAGUCGAGCGGGGUGAUGGUGCUUGCACUAUCACUUAGCGGCGGACGGGUGAGUAAUGCUUAGGAAUCUGCCUAUUAGUGGGGGACAACAUCUCGAAAGGGAUGCUAAUACCGCAUCCGUCCUACGGGAGAAAGCAGGGGAUCACUUUCCAACUUCCGUUAAUCGAUGCGCGUAAGUCGGAUUAGCUAGUUGGUGGGGUAAAGGCCUACCAAGGCGACGAUCUGUAGCGGGUCUGAGAGGAUGAUCCGCCACACUGGGACUGAGACACGGCCCAGACUCCUACGGGAGGCAGCAGUGGGGAAUAUUGGACAAUGGGGGGAACCCUGAUCCAGCCAUGCCGCGUGUGUGAAGAAGGCCUUAUGGUUGUAAAGCACUUUAAGCGAGGAGGAGGCUCUUUUGGUUAAUACCCAAGAUGAGUGGACGUUACUCGCAGAAUAAGCACCGGCUAACUCUGUGCCAGCCGCCGCGGUAA
rnacentral:rRNA from 1 species